GAUGAACGCUGGCGGCGUGCCUAAUACAUGCGAGUCGAGCGAACAGACGAGGAGCUUGCUCCUCUGACGUUAGCGGCGGACGGGUGAGUAACACGUGGAUAACCUACCUAUAAGACUGGGAUAACUUCGGGAAACCGGAGCUAAUACCGGAUAAUAUAUUUAACCGCAUGGUUCAAUAGUGAAAGACGGUUUUGCUUCCACUUAUAGAGGUAUCCGCGUCGCAUUAGCUAGUUGGUAAGGUAACGGCUUACCAAGGCAACGAUGCGUGGCCGACCUGAGAGGGUGAUCGGCCACACUGGAACUGAGACACGGUCCAGACUCCUACGGGAGGCAGCAGUAGGGAAUCUUCAGCAAUGAGCGAAAGCCUGACGGAGCAACGCCGCGUGAGUGAUGAAGGUCUUCGGAUCGUAAAACUCUGUUAUUAGGGAAGAACAAAUGUGUAAGUAACUAUGCACGUAUUGACGGUACCUAAUCAGAAAGCCACGGCUAACUACGUG
rnacentral:rRNA from 1 species